UACAGAGGUCCCAAGCGUUGUUCGGAUUCACUGGGCGUAACGGGUGCGUAGGUGGCCAGGUAAGUUUGGUGUGAAAGCUCGGAGCUUAACUCCGAAAAGUCAUUGAAUACUAUCUGGCUGGAGGGUCGGAGGGGAGACUGGAAUUCUCGGUGUAGCAGUGAAAUGCGUAGAUAUCGAGAGGAACACCAGAGGCGCAGGCGGCUUGCUGGGUCUGUAUUGACGCUCAGACACGAAAGCAUGGGGAGCGAACGGG
rnacentral:rRNA from 1 species